UACGUAGGGGGCAAGCGUUGUCCGGAUUUAUUGGGCGUAAAGCGCGUGUAGGCGGCCAUGCAGGUCCGUUGUGAAAACUCGAGGCUCAACCUCGAGACGCCGAUGGAAACCGCAUGGCUAGAGUCCGGAAGAGGAGAGUGGAAUUCCUGGUGUAGCGGUGAAAUGCGCAGAUAUCAGGAAGAACACCCGUGGCUAAGGCGGCUCUCUAGUACGGUACUGACGCUGAGACGCGAAAGCGUGGGGAGCGAACAGG
rnacentral:rRNA from 1 species